UGGGGGGGAACCGCCCCAGGCUUUAGACCACCCGGAUCCCACAAAAACUCUCACAUGAGUGGGGUCUCCUAUCGCUGUCGGGGCAGAGACCGAGGAGCGAGGUCGGAGCCUCCGGGGCGGCUUCCCCCUCGCCUGUUGGCGCGCUCCGCAGGCGGGGCCUCCGGAGCCUGUAUUCCUUAACCCCACCGCGCCCCGACUGAAGUCAACAGUAACAGACACUCUGGACCAGGCGGCUCUCUAAACCGGGCACCUGGAGACCCCCCCCCUCACACCCGGACCCUGCCCUCGAGGCCCUCAAGAUCGGUAAGGGGAGGCGACACAGACACAAGGCAGACAAUGUAUGACAGCGAGAUAAGAAAGCACGGAAGAGGAAGGGACUGAAGGGAGGAGGCCCUGCUUUGCGGAUGUGAUGGCACUGAGUUGGGUCGUAAGGGAGGCAAUAGGCAUUGGCCAGGAGGAGAGAGAAACGGAUUCCAGGCAGCUGGAAGAACAAAUGCAGAGGUUCGAGGGCAUAAAAACUUCCAGCAGAUUCGAGCCUGGAAGGACGGGAGGCAGAACUGCCCUUGUGGGGAGCAAGGUUUUAGGGUCCAGUUCGUCGCAGAAAAUUUAGGACCUUGAGAGUGAAGGAGUGCAGCUGAUUUCAUCCAGCAAACCCCUGGCCUAGAGGGGAGAAAAGGCUUGCCUGAGAUUGCACAGGAGUGGAUGGCUGAGCUGGCCUGCAACCCAGUUAUCAGCAGCCCUGACUCAGGGCUCAACCGAUCACUCUAUUUGGGCGGCCUCUGGAAGAGCAGCAGCAUCUCUUACAGGUACACUUGACAGUGAAUCGUGGGUUUGCAGGGAACUGUGACAAAACUGCCUCCAGCAAGACCCCUGUGCAGAGCUCUGCAGACAGGAUGGUGUGAAGAAUGAAAGGAGAGAUUCGCUGGAGCCAUACAAGCCAUGGAGGUGACAGCUGUAGCUUUGCAGUCUUAGUGACAUCUGGAUGUGCCGUGUAUACAUUUUGAUUGGAUAAAUGCAAGAAUCUGGCAACAAUCAUCUUUAGCCAAAUUUAUAGGUUUAUUUUUAUGCUUCUCUUUAAAUAGUUGUUUAUGUCUAUAACCAAUGGACCACCAAAGAUUAUAAAUUAAAUAAUAUAGAACUAAAAAUUAAACAGUCUAAAAGCAUGAAAUGGUCAAAAUGCUUGGGGUUUGAGGGAAGUGAGUUCAUCUGUAGCUAAAGGGGUCCUGGGACCCCCAACCUUCCCUACACACCACGUGCACGCACUGUUGACUAUUGCAUUAAAGUGAAAACAGUGUUUGGAAUGGGAUGAACUGAAACUACACCCACCAAGGAGAGAAACUUGUGAUUUGGGCAUCAUUCAAUAUGGGCGAAUGUGAACAAUGCUUUGAAAUGGGCAGGAAAGAUGACCUCUUCUCAUUUUCCAAAAAGGCAGGUCAAAGUUAUAUGAAUAAGAGGAAUAGAAACUUCUUUGGUAGAUGAGAUGUAGCAGAGGUGGGGUGGAAUAAAGUGGCAAGAGGGUCCUUCACAAGGAACUUAAAUCCUCAAGAUGUUGAAGUAUAUUUGGUUUUAGCCGUGUUCAAGAGAAAACCAAGCACAGCCCAAGAGGAAGCUUCUUCCCACAGUACUCACCCUCCCUCUGGGCAGCAGGCAGGCCACAGCUCGACCCUAUGCAAAGCCACCAGGCUCAGCGAAAAUAGGUGGCUAUGAAAUUCCCAAGGCACUAGCAGGGACUAGGGACUGGAUGAGCUGGUGACACAACUGGAAGAACUUCUAGGGAGGAGACCAUGAGAGAUGAGGGGGAGACAGGUGGGAUCACCUCUGCAGCCUCCUUUGUGAGGCCCCAGCCAUUAUCGAGGGCUUGGGGGCGGUGGGGGGGGAAAAGGGCAGAGUAAUUGAGACCCGCUUUUCACUUACAGCCCAUCAUUCCUUCCAACUUUCUAAAGUUUUAGGCUGCUGACGUAUGUGAAAAGCAGCUGGUCCAGUGUGAUGCCGUUUGAGGACAGUGAGUGAAGAGGUACCUGACCCAGGAAAAACUCCUUGCUCCUCCCUUACGUCUUUGGAACAGUCCUUCAGAGCUAUCUGAGAGGCUGCCAUCCCCGGCUAUAGUCCUCAGUAAGGCUGCAAAUAAAACAAAGUUCUCAACUUUUAGGUGGUGUACUUACUUUUAGUCAACAGUAGGAAGAAAACUAAAUUGUUAGGUCUCACAAAGCGGGAAGGUGAUUGUUGGUAUUGAACACUAAGAGGUCUAGUCUAGUAUAGUGUGCCGCUGUCAAAUAUGGUAGCCAUUAGCCAUAGGUGGCUAUUUAAAUGUAAUUAAAAGUAAUUAAUUGAAUUUAAAAAAUAAACUCAGUAAAAGUUUGUCUUCCUCCAUGGCACUUAGCCUCAUGUCAAAUGUCCAGUAGCCACAGAUUAGACGCUACCCUAUUGGACAAUGCAGCUAUAGAAUAUUUCCAUUAUUAUAAACAGUUCUUUUGAACAGCAGUAAGAGAACUCAAGAGUCCCAGGCGACGGUGACGCCUGGGAGUGCAGUCUCCUAAGAGUGAUGGGGGUGGAAGCCCUGUGGGAGGUGCAGACACGUAGUGUGUAGUAUUCUUUCUAAAACUCAGUCCAGCAGCGCUACUCUCUCCCUAUGACAGCUAUCGUGUAACUCGUGCGUACCUCGAACCCACAGCCCAGGCUCAGAGAGCGAGGCUCCACCACUUCACCGCGUUUCCCUGCCUGCACAAACUCACUACCGUCCCCACACUCCAUCUCCCCACAUGCCCCAGGCCCUUUUCCCGCGACUCUGGCUCUUGGACUUCUGGGAAAUGUAGUUUUAACAGCGUUCCAACUCGGAAAAGUUCUAGCAGCGAAUUGAGGCUCCCAAGAGGCAGUGCACGGGCCGCCAUAUCUGCCGUGAAGGGCGCCGAAGUCGGCACCCCUACUAAAGUACAGCGGUAACUGAGAUGCUGGAGUCCUGGGAGACCGCGCUGUGCCUCUCCCUGCCAUUCCUUAGGUCUCCGCCGCUCCGGAGCUGUAGAAACGCCUCAACCCAAGCAGAGCAGACAGGGCCCCAGGGAACCAUAGUAACUGGGCGGCCACAACCACUAGGGGACUUGAAGGCAGCGUCCGACGGCGAACAGCCAGAAGGCCAUUGGGCGGCCCCUUACGCGCAGCGCACGCGCAAAUGCUGGGCCUCAAGGCUUCCGUAAACACCAAAGAGCGCCUGCGCAAACGGAGCGCUUCGGGGUGGACACGAGGGGGCGCCUUAGCAAAGGCUUAGAGAGACGGAGUCUGGAGGAGUCCCUAUUCCUCAUCCUUCUCCUACCCAACCUGGGCCUAGUGGAGAAAGGCCCUGUUCUGUUGAGAUGACUACCAAAGGCCAGAAACUAAGGAGGAACUGGAGAAUCCUGAAGACAGAGGACAGUGUUGCUGGAGCUGUACAGACCCUGCUUCUCAGGAGAGUGGCCCAGCCCUCCAGGCUCCAAGUGAACCCAGACUGUUUCUUUUCUUCCAUGUCAGAAGAGGGAGGCACUGCCUCCAGGUGAAGGAGCAGAGGCUUAGGAAAGAGGCCAUGCCUUGGGGACAGCUGGCAGACGGGGGUUAAGGGGCCUCAGGAGACAAAAACUGAUAGCAGCUGUGGUGUUUAUUGAGUGCUCAUUGCUUGCUGGGCACCGUGCUGAGCUCUCCACGUGCGUGAACUCACUUCGUCCCCGAGGCAAUGGUGUAAGUCCUACUAGCCUACUCAUUCUAGAAAUGGGAGUACUGAGACACAGAGAGGUUAAGUAACUUGUUCUAGAUCACACAGUAAGAGGUUUUAACCCAGACAGCCUGGCUCCAUAGCCCAGGCUCUUAACCAUUGUGGUAGACUGCUGAGCAGGGUAUUUCACCCUGUCUAUUCCUCCUCCUCUUCUGUCCUUCCCUCCCCAUCCUCCAGUCCCUGUACCCUAGAGUCCUGGGAGCUUCUCUCUGGGCCUUGCGGGGUCUUGCUGCCCAGGGUGCUCCCAGGCUUGGGGGAAAGAGACUAACAGAGCUCCACUGCAACCCCCCCUCCAUGCAGGACUUCACAAUUUACAGAGCCCAUCCACCUGCCCCAGGCCGGUGGAGGGGCAUCCUGAGCACCACCCCUUCGACAGGAAGACAGACCAGAGAGGUGCAGGGCCUUGCCCAAGGUCGGCAGGGCCCAGGGUGGAACCAUGGAGACUCCUCUUUGGGAGGGCCCAGGCCCAGAUGGCCAGCACCCCCUCUGCAGGCUGGGUCCUUCUGCUGAUGAUGUCUUUGGGGCACUGCCGCCUGCAGCAGCUCAGUUCGAUUGCUGGGUUGAUGCAGCCUUCCACAAGCCCUCAAGUUUCCAGUCAGAGGCUCCUGAUCCAUCUGCCUGACCCCAGGCCCUCCCCUCAGCUAUGUGCUCAGGCUGGGUGGCAGUGGGGGUGGAGGUGUCUUUGUGUGUCUCUGGGGAGGACGAGGUUUUCUGGCCCUUUUACCAGGGCAAGAACUCCAGCCUUGGGACGACAGCCUCUUUUCUGGAAGGCUGCACAACUUCCUUCUUUCCGUUUCUUUGUAUUUUUUAAUCUCAAAGCUGGGCCCUCAGUGCCCUGCCAGGACAGUUCCGACCUCCUGGGACUAGAGGGGCCUCUGGGGAGCACUUAGGAUCACCCGUUGGAUGGGGGAAGGGGCAGAGGGUCCACCCCCCCAAACCCCUAGGCUAUUGUUCCUACCUGGGAGAGGCUCAUCUAAGAGGCCUGCUUGAGGAGCUCAGACCUGCCCAGGAACACAGCCCAGCCCAGGUAUAACAUGACUUCCCUCGCACCCCUUCUGCCCCUGCCAGGGGACCACACGUGGGGAUACCAAGGAUAGGUUCUGUUUCUUGCUGGGCCUUAUUUUUCUCGUUUGUCAAAUGAGGCUAAGAGUCCCUGUAUGACCUUCCACCUAAGGUUAUUGUGAAGGUUAGACAAAAUGAGUGUGGCAGACUCUUACUCUGGCCCAGGGCCUCUUCACAGAGAGGAUGUGCAAGGCUGUUCGUGUGUGUGUGCGUGUGCAUGUAUGUGCACGUGUGUGCAACAGCUGUGACCCGGGUGCUGACUGUACCUUCCCAGGGCAGGUGAGGGACCGGUGUAGCUCUCUGAGGCUUUGUGAUGUGGGUGUGGCACAGGGCCUCAGGUAUAACGUUGCCAGAUUUAGCAAAUAUUUGCUACAUGCUCAUACUAAAAAUGAUCUUCCUUAUCUGAAAAUCAAAUUUCAUGAGGUGUCCUGUGUUUUAUCUGGCAACUCUACUUGGGUGACCUGGUGCACCCGAGCCAGUGUACCCAUGUUGGGCUCCCACGCAUGAGACUGAGGUUGUAUGUGGCUGUGUGGGUCUGUGACAGGACAUCAGUGUGAUGGCACAUGGCUGUGACAGUGUCACCAGGAGGAGAGGGGAUGUGGGUAACUGUGAUUGUGUGCCUCUCUGUGACUCCCUCAGGCUCUAGCAGCUCCCUCAGGGCAGUGCUUGGGCUCUUUACUCAGGGAGGCCCAGCAGGGGUAGGAGACCCACCCUGGGCAAACACUUAGAUCCAGGUCCAGUUGGGACUGGGGUGCUGAGCCUAUUGCCACCUGCAUCAAACUGUAAAGGACAUGUCUGUCUCAAGGCCGAGCCAGCCCUGGGGGCCUCAGGGUGCUCUGCCCUGGGCCCUUCCAGAGGGGCCUCAGGAAUUACCUCUCUACUCUGCUCCUUCCUGGUGACAUCACACAGGUCAUUGCCCAGUCUUCUAGAACGGUGCCCCCAGGAUACUGCCUCGUUACCCUAGGCAACCUGGGAAUUUUCUCCGACUAAACUGGCAGGGCCAGUUACCCCUGAGGAGAGGGAGUUGGGGGAGAAGGCGUCAGGGGGGCCUUCUCCUCAUCUUCCAGGGGGAGAUCCAGGCAGCCAUCCGUCUGACUAGAUGAUGAGUUGGAGGGAGCACCCCAGAGCAAGUCAAGACCUGGUAGCCCCUCAUUGUCCAGGACACUGGACAGGGUGGGGCCCUUGGGCAGAGGAUGAAUCCUGAAGCAGAGAGAGGGUGGUGACUACCCCAAGGUCACCCCUGGGGUAGUGAAAGUAGUGGUGUAUAAUGGGGAACAGGGACAGAGCCUUGGGUUAGGAGCUGGGAGACCUAGGAUCUUACCUCUGCUUUGUCCCUGCUGGUGGGGCCUUUGUUUCUCCAUCUGUACAGUUAGGGGCUGUGGCCAUAUGAUAUCAGUCUCAGGGUCUUUAGUCCUGACGGGGACUCAGCGAGGGGAGUUGAGGGGAAUGUGAGGGACCAGGUCAUGGGUGGCUCCGGGCAGGUGCCCUGACCCUAUUGCAACAGCUGUCAGGGGGCAGUGAGCAAGGACUGGUAUGGAUAUCUCCAAACGACCGCCAACCCCCAUUCCAAGAGUCCUGUGGUACUGGAGGUCCCUAGAUGGGUUCUGUCUUACUUUGAUUCAGGGGCGUCCCCAUGCCUCCCACACCUCAGCUGCUCUCUCUGUGAGGGGCAUGUGUAAGACCAGCACUUGCUCAGCACCCUGGGUAAUGAUUCCUCACAUUCUCAUGAUCCCUCUCAGUUUGCUAAGCACCUUCUCUUUCUCUUACACGCUCCCGCCUUCCACUCCCACUCUGACUCCUGCUUGGUGUUGUCCCAUUCUGGGUCUGGGGCCCAGAGAGGCACCUCACCCAAUCCACUUUCCGUCAAGGGGCCCUGUGGCUGGUGCAGGGGCUGCAGCGGGCAGAGCAGGGUCAUGCUUUGCCAAGCUUUUCCACUGUUUACUCUUUCCUGAGAAUCUUAACAACCAUCCUAUCAAGAUGUUACCUUAACACUUUUUUGUUGGAAAUAUGCCAUUUUUGUACAGUGCAUUUAUUCCUCCCUACCCUUCUCCCUCCGGUUAUAUUUUUAGUUACUUGGAGGUGAAACUGAUACAUGUACAACUCUUUUCCUUGCAAUAAUUCUCAGAGAGUAGGUAUUAUUAUUCUAGAUGAAGAAACUGAGGCUCAGAGAGGACAUGUCACCUGCUCUUGGUCACACAUUUAGGAAAUGGUAUAGACAGGAUUUGAACCCAGUUCCACAGGCCCUUUGCACUUCCAGGCUGUGGGAAGCAGGGAUGGCCAAGUCCUAGGACUCCUCUCCAGACUCCUCCCCCAGGUCACCCAUCCCAGCCCUCCUAGCCUUCUCUCUGCUGCCCAGGGGUGUUUGAGACAGGAUAUGAAUCUGCUUUGAUCCAGGCACGUUUGGGAGGCUGUCAUGAACCCUUGAGCCAGAGAUACCUAAAUUCCUGGGAUUUGGGGGGGCCUGC